rnacentral:rRNA from 1 species
ACGAACGCUGGCGGCGUGCCUCAUACAUGCAAGUUGAGCGCUGAAGGUUGGUACUUGUACCGACUGGAUGAGCAGCGAACGGGUGAGUAACGCGUGGGGAAUCUGCCUUUGAGCGGGGGACAACAUUUGGAAACGAAUGCUAAUACCGCAUAAAAACUUUAAACACAAGUUUUAAGUUUGAAAGAUGCAAUUGCAUCACUCAAAGAUGAUCCCGCGUUGUAUUAGCUAGUUGGUGAGGUAAAGGCUCACCAAGGCGAUGAUACAUAGCCGACCUGAGAGGGUGAUCGGCCACAUUGGGACUGAGACACGGCCCAAACUCCUACGGGAGGCAGCAGUAGGGAAUCUUCGGCAAUGGACGAAAGUCUGACCGAGCAACGCCGCGGGAGUGAAGAAGGUUUUCGGAUCGUAAAACUCUGUUGGUAGAGAAGAACGUUGGUGAGAGUGGAAAGCUCAUCAAGUGACGGUAACUACCCAGAAAGGGACGGCUAACUACGUG